rnacentral:rRNA from 1 species
GAUGAACGCUGGCGGCGUGCUUAACACAUGCAAGUCGAACGGAAAGGCUCCUGCUUGCAGGGGUACUCGAGUGGCGAACGGGUGAGUAACACGUGGGUGAUCUGCCCUGCACUUCGGGAUAAGCCUGGGAAACUGGGUCUAAUACCGGAUAGGACGAUGGUUUGGAUGCCAUUGUGGAAAGUUUUUCGGUGUGGGAUGAGCUCGCGGCCUAUCAGCUUGUUGGUGGGGUAAUGGCCUACCAAGGCGUCGACGGGUAGCCGGCCUGAGAGGGUGUACGGCCACAGUGGGACUGAGAUACGGCCCGGACUCCUACGGGAGGCAGCAGUGGGGAAUAUUGCACAAUGGGCGCAAGCCUGAUGCAGCGACGCCGCGUGGGGGAUGACGGCCUUCGGGUUGUAAACUCCUUUCGCUAGGGACGAAGCGCAAGUGACGGUACCUGGAGAAGAAGCACCGGCUAACUACGUG